rnacentral:misc_RNA from 1 species
GAUGAAGAACGCAGCGAAAUGCGAUAAGUAAUGUGAAUUGCAGAAUUCAGUGAAUCAUCGAAUCUUUGAACGCACAUUGCGCCCCCUGGUAUUCCGGGGGGCAUGCCUGUUCGAGCGUCAUUACAACCCUCAAGCUCUGCUUGGUGUUGGGCCCCGCCGCCCCGGCGGGCCCUAAAAUCAGUGGCGGUGCCGUCCGGCUCCGAGCGUAGUAAUUCUUCUCGCUCUGGAGGUCCGGGUGUGUGCUCGCCAGCAACCCCCAAUUUUUUUCAGGUUGACCUCGGAUCAGGUAGGGAUACCCGCUGAACUUAAGCAUAUCAAUAAGCGGGA